UAUUUAUUCCCCACUGAACAAUGCGCUUUGCUGGGUGGCUUGUGGCAAAAUACGCAUAUUCAGUGGCCUUAGUACACAAUCGUAGAAUAAAUACAUUUAUGAAUACAAAGUAGCCUUUAUAUUCCCCCAUGUAUAUAAAAGUAGUUAUGUGAAUAAAUUCUCACCUGAAUUAUUCAAAGCGUGUUUAAACUAUGAAAAUUUUUGCAAAGAGGUUUGCAUACAUGCACUUCAGAACUCGUUUAUUUAAUAUUACGUGCAAAUACUUCAAUUGCACCUCUCAUUUUUCGCGGAGUUACAAAUCUUUAUUUAAUUUUGUUUCAGAAUUUCAACAAGUACGUGUACGCCAGGAAGUAAGAGGAUAUAAAACAAGAACAACGAGCACUUCCUGUAACUUUUGCAUAUUUUUUUAAAAAUAAUUCGAACACUGUCCAGAAAUCAAAUCAUAAAAAUUUAAUGUGGUUAUUGGAAACAUAAUUUAAGGAUAACACAUAUUUCUAUGUAAACAUUAAAGUAAACCAUGUGGUUCAGAAAUGUUAUGCAUAUUUAAGAUCAAUUAAGCUAUCUUUAAUUUGUGAGAAAAUAUCUAGUCAAUAUUUUUAGUUAUGUACACUCCCACAUUUGCAAAUUUAAAUCUAUCAAAAAUAUUUUGUGAUCCAUGGACAUCUGCGUAAGCAUAAGACAUGUGUUAUAUUAAUAUUCUCUUCAGACAAUAUUGUGUUUCUAUCAGAGCAAUUUAGUGUUGUUAGUGGUAAAUCAAAUUCUAAGCCAUGUAAAUUAAGUAUUUGGGUAACAUGUUACUGGCAAAUAGAUCUUGUGUUCAAGCAAGAACAGUGGACUCAUACAGAAACGAGUAUUUCAGAUUUUAUUACCAGGAGAGACUAACAUUUGUACUUCAGUGCACUAAGCUGAAUUUCUAACACAAAUGCAAGUUAUGUGUAUGUGGCCUAAUUCAAAGUAAUCAUAUUGUUUAAAAUACAUAGAUCGGUCAAAAACCGUGAAACACUUGA